CAGCCGCCGCGGGAAUACGUAGGGUGCGAGCGUUGUCCGGAAUUACUGGGCGUAAAGAGCUCGUAGGCGGUUUGUCACGUCGUCUGUGAAAUCCUAGGGCUUAACUCUGGACGUGCAGGCGAUACGGGCUGACUUGAGUACUACAGGGGAGACUGGAAUUUCUGGUGUAGCGGUGGAAUGCACAGAUAUCAGGAAGGACACCGAUGGCGAAGGCAGGUCUCUGGGUAGUAACUGACGCUGAGGAGCGAAAGCAUGGGUAGCGAACAGGAUUAGAGACCCGAGUAGUCCCUGUCUCUUAUAA
rnacentral:rRNA from 1 species